CAAUAGCGUAUAUUAAAGUUGUUGCGGUGAAAAGCUCGUAGUUGGAUUUCUGCCGAGGGCGACCGGUCCGCCCUCUGGGUGAGUAUCUGGCUCGGCCUGUGCAUCUUCUUGGAGAACGUAGCUGCACUUGACUGUGUGGUGCGGUAUCCAGGACUUUAACUUUGAGGAAAUUAGAAUGUUUCAAGCAGGCAUACGCCUUGAAUACAUUAGCAUGGAAUAAUGAGAUAAGACAUCGUUUUUUUGUUGGUUUCUAGAGCUGAGGUAAUGAUUAAUAGGGAGUAGUUGCGGGCAUUCGUAUUUAACUGUCAGAGGUGAAAAUACUUGGAUUUGUUAAAGACGGACUACUGCGAAAGCAUUUGUCCAAGGAUGUUUUUCAUUGAUCAAGAACGAAAGUUAGGGGAUCGAAGAUGAUUAGAUACCAU
rnacentral:rRNA from 1 species